GGGCGGAUGGUCGAGUGGUCUAAGACGCCAGAUUCAAGGAUUACGAGUUUAUUGUAACUGCAUUGCGUCGCAAUGAUAUUCCUGGUCUCGAAAGAGGCGUGGGUUCGAGUCCCACUCCGCUCA
rnacentral:tRNA from 2 species